GUAUUGCUUGUUUUGUUUGACAACGAGCAUGUAUUAUUUUUAUAAAAGCAGCGGUCAUUACCUUCACACACACACACACUUCAGAUGAUUCUUCUAGACAGCCAGAGUUGAGGACUGCUACAUUUCAUUUGAGCCAUUGACACUCUAGUGUGAAUUACAUUUUCAGGAAGACAGUGUGAGGACCCUGAGGCUCUGCGGGUCCCAACCCAAGCAGCUAAAUCCUCGGAAAAACUGAAGAGGGCUCUUGAGGACUCUGCUGAACGGACCCUCGGGAUCACCCACCCCCUGCUGUGGCACACGCAGGUUAUUUCCAGCCUUCUGCAAAGCCGAGCAGUGCUGUGAGGACAUCCCUUUGCACGGCGGUGUGUGGAGAGUAAAUCCUCCAAGGGCUCUGCGAGGUCCCACAGCUGAGACCAGAUGAGGAAGAUAAGGCCAACGAGGACAGCACGCUCGGGAGGUGAACUCACAGGCCCACAAGGCCCUGCAGCUGGCAGGGGGCCAAGGUUCUCCGACCAGGCAUGAAGCCCGAAGAACGAGCCAGCCAAGGGCUUGGCAUGAAGUAGGUGCUUAGUAAAGACUGGUUUCUUCUAUUCCUUCCUCCUUCCCUUCCAACAGCCAUCUGGGCCCCCAGUCAGGAGGUCACCUCUGGCCAGGGCUGUGGUAGGACAGACAGGGCCCCAGGCCGGGCCUGGCCUUCUCCCCCACCAGCUGAGGUGCCCCCUUCCAUUUCUUCUUCUCCUCCUCCGCGCCACGCCCCCCGCCUCUGCGUGCCCGCUCAGUUAUCUGGUGACUUGAGGACCCCGGGAGUCCCUCUGUUCUCCUCAGCCACCCUGGUGACAAAACAAAGGAGGAGCUCAAAAUCGGCCUUGAUUCAGUGCCUGAAGCCCGUGGCCUGGGCUUGAGUGGCCCUGCCAGGCCACCUGGGGCCGUCCACGGGCGCCACACAGACCCACACAGGGCCCCACGCCAGGCCCGGCCAAAACUGUCGCCCCAGCUGACGGCUUGCUCAGAGAAAUGACUCAGCCCGAGUGCUCAGAUGCCCUGUCCACGUUUUAUGAACUAAAGGUGUUUUCAUAACAACUGGGGGUGAUGAGCCAGCAGCAGGCUGUAAACAGAGCAAUGAUCUGGUUGAAACGCCCAGGUCCGAGCCCCCGCCCACAAGCAGGGCCUCCGAGGUUGUCAGCUUCCCCACAGCGGUGCUUCCUUCACGCCCAGGUGGGGCCACGGGCCCCUGGGCUCGUCCUGGCAAACAGCACAGACUCCCAAAAUAACGUGGAGACGCGCCCAGCCGCAUCUGUAACCCAGGAGGGAAGCGAGUGACAGAGCCAGAUCCGUGGCCUAGACGCCUGCUUCUGUCCUUCCCGGAUGCCCCGGGGCCUCCUGUGGGACCGGAAGCCGUCCAUGAGCCAGGGUCCUGGGACCAGAACUCUGGGAGGCCCAGCCCUGAGCUGGAGUUCGCAGGGCAGGGAAAGUGUACCUCGCCUCCCACAAGGACAGUGCUGCUGGGGGUGUGUGACACAGGUGCCCUAGAACAGCAAAUGGUGUGAAACAAGGAGGGCGGUGCUCAAUCCUCCCGGAGGAUUCUAGAGCUGCCAGAGGUGAGACAGCACGGCCUGCUCAUUCACCCUGUCCCUACCCCCGCUCUUCCUUCCGUCCAUCAGGGCACUUGGGAGGCCUACCUGUCAGCCAUACCCCAGGCUUACCCCUACCAUCCUCUGCCCAAAAGCCAAGCAGUCCUCUUCGAUCCUGACUUUUCCAACCCACGGCAAGUCCCGUCCACCUUACCUCCAGC